GUAAACUUCGAUAACUUUGACGGAAUCCUGUCAUUUGUCCACGUGAACAAAAAUCACUGGAACAUGCUGGUAUGUUGAUUCAUUAAUAUUCAUUCAUUCAAAUGUGGGUUUUCACAUAGUGAAAUAAAGUAUUGCGGCGAGUAUCAAGGUCAUGGUCAAGGUUGCUUUAUUCAUACCCUUGGGUAAAUUUGGUUUGCAUGUGUAUCGAUCGCCACAUGCAGCGAUGGAUACUCAUCAACUUCUCAAUACAGUAUUUUUCCGAAACUGUACUUGGCUUAUUAUUUCAUCCACUCAACUCAUUUGGCGACUGUGAAAUUGGCAUAGGGAAACUUUGAUUCUAAGUUUACUUUGACCCAUCACCUUUUUUCUUGCUUUGCAUGCACUCUCCCUGCUAUUUCUGGGAAUUGCAUCUCUAGUUAAAGAAUACCCUCUCUUUUUUCUCAGUACAUUCAUGCAAAGUCUGGUACUGUGUACCAAAUGGAUCCCUCACCAGCAUCCUCUGAGCUUGAGGACUCUACCCAUGCGGCUCAGAGACUACAGGAAUACUUGAAGAUUAGAAAACAUCAGGGGAAAACUGACUGGGUGGAUGUGAAGUGGAAAGGAGGAGUGAUGCCCCACCCAGUGCAAAUGGAUGGUUGCAGCUGUGGUGUCAUUGUUGUUGAAAUGGCCAGAGCAGUGAUGGAAGCCUUCCCUGAGUUCCCCAAAAUGAACUUCUCAACAAAAAGGAGAGCCAUGGAAGAGGCGAGGAGAGAUAUGGCUCUCCAAGUCCUUGAAUCAUCAGGUAUACAAUGCAGUAUACAUCUUUUUUUGAAUAACUUAAAGGCAUUCCAAAUAUAUUCUGAUUAAGGGCCCAAUUUUGAGAAUGAUAUGGUAACAGAAUUGGUGAAUGUGAUUGGCGAAUGCAAUUUCCCUUAGCCACAGGCCUUGCCCAUAUCAGAGUCUCCACCGAUUACCUCUUGCGGGUUUAAAAAAAGGCACAUACCAUUUGCCGAUAAAAUCCCCAAAAUUGGGCCCUAAAUAUGUCAUGCAAAUACACUUUAUUUCAGUCUUUGAUGAGGAGACUUGUUCGAUGUGUGGAGCUGACAAGCCCCCUGGACAAGCACCUCCCGUUACAGACUGGGUGAGUUGUUGUGAGCAGCACAUACAUUUUGUAACGUAAUGUGACAUACAGUGUUGGUAGUAACUAGUAACAAAGUUAAUUAACAAAGAUAAUUCAAUUUUGAUAGCAAUAUGUAAAAAGGCCAAGAAAGUUGAAGGGGUUCAAUGUUCACAGAAAACUUUCUUUGAUUCAAACUUAACCUUUGCUAUAAUCUGCUGGUUUGGUGACCUGAGUCUAACAAACAAAAACAGGGUUUGUUCUACUCGGUCUAUCCUCAGAACAACGAGAGGCAAUGUUGAUAUUAUGACCAAAAGGGGGCGUGCCUCCGUGAAAUGCCGCAAGACAGCUGGGAGAUGUAGCCUAGGCCUACACCUUACGACUCGUACGGCCAGUUCCAUACAACUGGAUCGCGGCAUAACUGUCCUUCUCUUCCUUUCUUCAAAGCUCAUCUCAAGACCUUUCUGUUUAACUUCUCUCCCACUCCAAACACAUAGCUCUAUCCUCUAGACUAGAGGCUCCCUUUGUUUAGUUUAGUUUUUCUCUUUUUUUGUAUUGUUGUUUGUUUGUGGUUGUAUUUUCAUUUCCACUAUGUGAAGUGACCUUGGGUUUGAGAAGGGAGCUAUAUAAAUGGAAAUUAUUAUUAUCACUAUUAUUAUUAUUUACCUGUUUUGAAACCAAAUUGCCCCGUAAGGACAUUUCAGCUCAAUUAAAUUCACCUGGAGGGUCAGGUAACGCAAAAGUAACAAGUGACAUAAGGCAUUACUCCACACAAGUAACGUAAUGAAGUAACUUCCCCAAUGCUGGUGACAUACCACUUAAGCCUAAGUGUCCUACCAAGUGACAAAGUCAUGUACAUGAAUGAAUCAUUAAUUGUUUUUUCAAUUCAACAGAUCCAGUGUGAUAAUUGUGACCGGUGGUUCCAUAACCUUUGCUUGAACAUGGACCAAAAUAAGUUAAAGGAACUCAAGAAAAGGCAAUGGCUGUGUGUUUUAUGCCGAUGACAAGGUUGAGGAAAAUUGUGCCUCGUCCAAGUGCCAGGUUUUGUUUAGAAAUGUGAUUAAAAAAAACGUAAAAGGCGUGUUAACAUCAGAAGAUGUGGAAAGCAUGAAUGGGGAGGGGAGACACACACACACACACACACACACACACACACACACACACACACACACACACACACACACACACACACACACACACACACACACACACACACACACAUUUCCAUUUCAUCUAUUCUCUCUGGUUACAGCCAUAUACACUUUGAUAUUGGAUCCCUUCCACUUACUUUAACCCUAGGCUAUACCGUAAGGACUGAAGAUCAAUGCCUGAUUACCAAAAGAUUCUGUUGAGUCAGUGUAUAAAACACAACAGCUGCGUUGAUUGAGAAACGCUUUACACCAAUACUGUGCAUAGUCUGAUUCAUUGCCAUGGAUUGCAAGAAGGAAAUAUUACAGAAAGGUCUGAAGUUAAAAUAUAAUUUGCAAGUUCACAUAAUGAAGUGGGAAAACAAAUGAAGGUGUGUUUGAUUAGUAUAUCAUGAAUGGAAUUCUUAAAAUAUUUAAAGAAAAUUGGAGGUGCAAAAUAUUAAUUUUUAAGGAGGUGUGUGUUGUUAUUACCAUAUUGUAGGACAGGUCCACAUUGGUCUGGGGCCUCUGGGUCCCAUAACUCGGAAGCUAUUGAGCAAAAAGCAAUUUCCCAUAGGAAACUAAUGGGAUUCUUAAAAUAUUCAAAUAAAAUUGGAGGUGCAAAAUAUUAAUUUUUAGUGAGGUGUGUGUUGUUAUUACCAUAUUGUAGGACAGGUCCACAUUGGUCUGGGGCCUCUGGGUCCCAUAACUCGGAAGCUAUUG
rnacentral:lncRNA from 1 species